AUGCUGCAACCAGCCAUGGCCGGAGCUGGAACCGGCCUCACCGGAAGCUGCUAUAUGCAGUGCGCCAUGGGUGGACAUAGAUCAGUGCGAUGGCAGCGACGACAGGAUGCUACGACCGACCUGGUGGGAUGCUGGAACCGCGGCCAGGCGGAGCUGCAACCGUGGCCUAGAAAAGCUGGAACCGUGCCGGAUGCUGGCGAGUGCUACAACCAUGGUGGCCAGAUGCUGGAUCCCGCACAAUUUUUUGCUUCUAUCGGUGUUUUCAAUUUUUUUGCUGAAACUAGUGCCCCUUUUGCAUUUUUUGCUACCACUCUUUUGUAUUUUGCUGGUACCAGCAUCAAUUUUUGCUACCACGGUGCAUUUGAUUUGCUGGAACCAACCCCCCAACUUGCAUCUUUUGCUACCAUCGGCCCUUUUAGUUUGCUGGAGCACAUAGAUGCAACAACCAUUGAUGCAGGAGCUGCAACCGUACCUGGUUUUUGUUGGAACCAGCGACCGCGGUGA
rnacentral:rRNA from 1 species